AAAAACUUAUUACUAAAUAACAUACAAAAAUUCAAAAAGCUAAGAGUUACCUAUCAAUAAAAACUUUAAGUACAUAAAGGGCAAUUACAAAGUAAGGAGAGAUUCAAAAUAAUGUGAAAAGAAAAUAAAGGAGUCCUGUACCUCCCAGAUAAAAUUUAGGGUAUUUUGGCCAUGGUUCUUAUUAAAACUAUUUUCAAGCUGUUUUAUACCAAGUCGGUUUUAUAGACGAAGGAACACCAUGCCUAAUCUUGAGAUGAUCUCGAUAUGAUUUCCAAAAUCAUUUUGCAAUGAUCUCAAUAUGAUUACACCUAAAAUCUGCAAUAAGAAAGUUGGAUUGGCAAUGCCUGUCAUAAAUACAUAGUAUUUGGAGCAGUGGAUUACUGAGAAUGACUAAUGUGCAACCAGAACCAUAGCCGAACACACAUAGCUGCAGUCCCCCACAAAUAAGUACAUAACCAAUAGCCACCAUUGAUAAGAACAAUAGGAAGUGGUUGCCUAUAAGUAGGCCAUCCA
rnacentral:lncRNA from 1 species